rnacentral:rRNA from 1 species
GAUGAACGCUGGCGGCGUGCUUAACACAUGCAAGUCGAGCGAGAAGUUUUGAAAAGAUUCUUCGGAUGAAAUUUAAAAUGGAAAGCGGCGGACGGGUGAGUAACGCGUAGGCAACCUGCCCCAUACAAAGGGGUAGCAUUUGGAAACGAAUAUUAAUACCUUAUGAAACUUAACUAGUGCAUGCUAGGUAGGUCAAAGAUUUAUCGGUAUGGGAUGGGCCUGCGUCUGAUUAGCUAGUUGGUGAGGUAACGGCUCACCAAGGCGACGAUCAGUAGCCGACCUGAGAGGGUGAACGGCCACAUUGGAACUGAGACACGGUCCAAACUCCUACGGGAGGCAGCAGUGGGGAAUAUUGCACAAUGGGGGAAACCCUGAUGCAGCAACGCCGCGUGAACGAUGAAGGCCUUUGGGUCGUAAAGUUCUGUUCUAGGUGAUGAAAACUGACAGUAACCUAGGAGAAAGCCCCGGCUAACUCCGUG